GAAAGGCGAAACGUAAUGUGACUCGCAACUAACAGUGAAUCAUCGAAUCUUUGAACGCAGGCCGCACUUUGCAGUAUCAUUCGUGAUACUGCAAGGUAUCUACGUAUGAGUGUCAGCCCAAUAUUCUUUUGGUUUGCGGGGGAAUUAUUAUUAUUAUUAAUGAUUUAACCUGUGAAUACUAGUGUCUUUAUGACAUGUAACAAGAAACUUUGUGGCGUGUCUGGCCUCAUAUGUGGAAGAUUACCCGCUGGAUUUAA
rnacentral:misc_RNA from 1 species